GCAGCGGCUCCUUGGCUCAGAAGGGACAGGGACCGGGCAGAAACGUAGGGGAACCGUCAUUGAACUUAUCCAUCAUGAGAUAACAUGGGGAGCCGCUCGCCCUGACCUAUAGAGCUAGCGCGCAGAGCUCUUCCGGCGGAGCUGAGGGGAAGUAGUUAUGCCUUAAACUUAUGAGUAAGGAAAAUAACGACCCGGGGUGACGCCCGGGUCCUCACUGCCAAUGUGAGAGGAAUUUUUGCGCGGGUACAGGUCGCCCCCGGGUGCCCCGCCUACUUCGCGGGAUGCCCGGGUGCCGUGAUCUGCCCGACCCUCUGUGCCGCGCGUGCCAACGACAGAGCUGUUCUCUGUGUUCAGCUGCAGUGCUUGGGAUAUUUACGGCCCGCUCGUAGCGUCAUCCGCCCGCUGUGAUGCGGCCGGACACCGCCUCCUCAGUGCUCUAGCACGUGGUUACCGUGAAUUCGAAUUACUUUACAGAUCAAAAAUAGCUUAACUAGUGUCUCCCUCCUCCUGCCGCCUUCACUAAUCUGCCUUAAGGGCCUUCACGAAGCUAAGAAAUACAUCAACCCGCUACUAAUAUAUCAUGUGUCUGCAGGAAGUGAUUCCUUUACUAUGCUUCUGACGGAGGAAUUAGGCUAUUCAAAAUCAGACCAAAAUUGAAAAACGGCAGUGAAAGGGAAAACUGUCUUAUGCAGCUUGGGCGGAGGUGAGCUUCCAGGGAUGCCUCCUGCCCUACCUAUCUUGACUUGCAGGACUGUAGCUCUGGGUCUCACUGCAGGUCCUGGUGCUGCUGAGCCUCCCUCCCAAAGCCCUUUUGAAGCACAGAGCACCCCUAGGGCCUGCAGUGUGGGGUUUCUUCCUGUCGUUGGAAAACACUUCUCCAAAAUGCAGUUUUGCUUCCGCCUGCAGCUUUGUCUGAUCCCCGGCACCUGUCACGAGUUUCACUUGUGACUCCUCCACAGCCUCCCUGUUACCUUCCUGCCAUCUCCCCACCACAGCAUCCUGAGCUGUAGUAACUCCAAGGCAUUGCCGUGGAUGCGGCAGCAUCCAGCGUGUUGCUGCAGAGCUGGCGGCCCAUGUGUACUCCAUGCGAGAUACACGAGGAAAACUCCUGGACUUCAGUAGAGCAGAAGCUGCCAGUGAGAGCCCGGGACAAAUGCAGAGGAGAUGGGCACUGCUGAGGCGUGUUCACAGUCACACAGGCUCAGGAUCCCACAGCACUGAUUCCGUUUCAGGAACAUUUCAAGCCUUGGUGAGCCUAUAGUCAUACCAGCAGCGACACCAAGUCUCUGCUUAGUUGUCCACUGGUGCUUGAUCCAGUUCCAGGGUGGAACAUGACUGCAUUACUCUCAAAUUAAGGGAAGACACAGAGACCUGAACAUUUUUGAAGGUUAUACCAGGAAUGUCAGUUAAUGUUAGACAUGGGUGCUGCAGCAGGAAAGGCCGAUUCUCACAGCCUGGCUGCGGGGGCUUUGUCCUGCCCAGGCAGAGGAGACAAGUGCUCGCUUCCUCCUAAGCUCGCCAACGUCUGGCAGCCAGUUGUGGUAAUGCUUUUGUGCUGGCAUCAAACGCUGGCACUGCCAGCAUGAGCCUCUCAGUACAGACCAAAUCCGCCAGGUGUACUGGGGAACAGAGCAUGGGUUCAAGAGCCCAAAGACACCCACAUGCAUCUUGUUCAACCAGCAGCAGGAGUUCAAGAGUUUUGGCUAUGAUGCUGUGAUGAAGUACAAGAGCCUGCCCUCCAGCAAAGCUGAGAGCUGGUACUUCUUCCAGAACUUCAAGAUGAAGCUGUAUAACACAGUAGGUGAAAUGGUUACUGCUAUAGGAGUCAGAGCUAUUAAUUUAUUUGUGGUGUGGGGGUUAGAGAACUGAUGAAGAUGGCUGAGUAAAUCUGGCUGAUGAGAAUGAAUGAACAUAAAUCAAGGAGUAUUUUUAUGAACUGAAGAAGAAAUUAUUUAUUUUUGUAAUUAGCCAAAAGCUUCAUGGACCCUUCCUUUAUGAUGUUUUUUAAUUGUUUAAAGACAAUCAAACCUGACCGUGUAUCUGGGCGAAGCCAAAUAGACGUGUGCUGAUUUUGGCUGGAGUAGAGUUAACUUUCUUCACAGUGGCUAGCAUGGGUCUGUGUUUUGGAUUUGUGCUGAACACAGGGUUGAUAAUAUAGAGAUGUUUUGGUUAUUGCUGAGCAGGGCUUAUACAGAGCCAAGGCCUUUUCUGCUUUUUGUACUGCCACAUUGGUGAGGAAGUCGGGGGUGCAUGGGAGGCUGGGAGGAGAUACAGCCAGGACAGGUGACCCAAACUGACCAAAGGGAUAUUCCAGACCAUACGACAUCAUGCUCAGUAUAUAAAGUGGGGGGAAGAAGGAGGAAAGGGGAGAUGUUGGGAGUGAUGGUGUUUGUCUUCCCAAGUCACUGUUAUGUGUGAUGGGGCCUUGCUCUCCUGGAGAUGGCUGAACAUCUUCCUGCCCGUGGGAAGAAGUGAAUUAAUUCUUUGUUUUUCUUUGCUUGCAUACGUGGCUUUUUCUUCCCCUAUUAAACUGUCUUUAUCUCAACCCAUGGUUUUCUGGCUUUUCCCCUUCCAAU